rnacentral:rRNA from 1 species
GACGAACGCUGGUGGCGUGCUUAACACAUGCAAGUCGAACGGAAAGACCCUGCUUUUGUGGGGUGCUCGAGUGGCGAACGGGUGAGUGACACGUGAGUAACCUGCCCUUGACUUUGGGAUAACUUCAGGAAACUGGGGCUAAUACCGGAUAGGAGCUCCUGCUGCAUGGUGGGGGUUGGAAAGUUUCGGCGGUUGGGGAUGGACUCGCGGCUUAUCAGCUUGUUGGUGGGGUAGUGGCUUACCAAGGCUUUGACGGGUAGCCGGCCUGAGAGGGUGACCGGCCACAUUGGGACUGAGAUACGGCCCAGACUCCUACGGGAGGCAGCAGUGGGGAAUAUUGCACAAUGGGCGGAAGCCUGAUGCAGCAACGCCGCGUGCGGGAUGACGGCCUUCGGGUUGUAAACCGCUUUCGCCUGUGACGAAGCGUGAGUGACGGUAAUGGGUAAAGAAGCACCGGCUAACUACGUG